rnacentral:rRNA from 1 species
AUGCACGCUGGCGGCGUGCCUAAUACAUGCAAGUCGAGCGAACGGACGAGAAGCUUGCUUCUCUGAUGUUAGCGGCGGACGGGUGAGUAACACGUGGAUAACCUACCUAUAAGACUGGGAUAACUUCGGGAAACCGGAGCUAAUACCGGAUAAUAUUUUGAACCGCAUGGUUCAAAAGUGAAAGACGGUCUUGCUGUCACUUAUAGAUGGAUCCGCGCUGCAUUAGCUAGUUGGUAAGGUAACGGCUUACCAAGGCAACGAUGCAUAGCCGACCUGAGAGGGUGAUCGGCCACACUGGAACUGAGACACGGUCCAGACUCCUACGAGAGGCAGCAGUAGGGAAUCUUCCGCAAUGGGCGAAAGCCUGACGGAGCAACGCCGCGUGAGUGAUGAAGGUCUUCGGAUCGUAAAACUCUGUUAUUAGGGAAGAACAUAUGUGUAAGUAACUGUGCACAUCUUGACGGUACCUAAUCAGAAAGCCACGGCUAACUACGUG